rnacentral:rRNA from 1 species
CUGCUGCCUCCCGUAGGAGUUUGGGCCGUGUCUCAGUCCCAAUGUGGCCGUUCACCCUCUCAGGCCGGCUACUGAUCGUUGCCUUGGUAGGCUUUUACCCCACCAACUAGCUAAUCAGACGCGGAACCAUCGUAUACCACCUCAGUUUUUCACACUGCUUCAUGCGAAGCUGUGCGCUUAUGCGGUAUUAGCACCUAUUUCUAAGUGUUAUCCCCCAGUAUACGGCAGGUUUUCCACGCGUUACUCACCCGUCCGCCA